rnacentral:lncRNA from 10 species
GGCAAAGAGAAUAGACAUUAGACAGGGACCUGAAAGGAUCCAGAAAUGGGACUUUACAUCCCACAGAGGAAACAGGGUUUCCUCAUGUUGCCCAGGCUGGUCUCGGACACUUGAAUUCAAGCAAUCUGCCGGCCCCGCCGGGUGUGCCGCAUGAGGGCGCGGGCCGCCCAAGGACCGCGAGUGGGGCCGCGAGUGCUGAGCCCGGCGCGCCCGAGCCGCUCCUCCUCCCGGCCUGCUCCCUGGGCGGAGCCGGGGCAGUGCGGCUCUGGGCUGGCCGAAGGGGUGGCGCUGCGAUCCCGCAGGGCAGCGACGCGACUCUGGUGCGGGCCGUCUUCUUCCCCCCGAGCUGGGCGUGCGCGGCCGCAA